AUAGCAACACCACAAGGUAAAUGUGUUUCUGUGCCCUAUAUCUACUAUGCAUUUCUUCUUCGUCACGCUGAAAUCUUGCACACACUACUUUUGUGUUAUGCGCCAAUAUCCACUGCGCACAGUUUUUGGUAUUGCACACUGAUACGUGGAGGUCCGAACCGACUGAUGUUGAAAAAUCAGCGGAUGAGUCGUGGUUAGGGGUGAAAUACCACUCGAACCCAGAGCUAGCUGGUUCUACCUGAAAUGCGUUGAGGCACAACAGUUGACUGGACCAUCUAGGGGUAAAGCAUUGUUUCGGUACGGGCCGCGAGAGCGGUACCAAAUCGAGGCAAACUCUGAAUACUAGAUUGCCCCAAUAAAAGGGGUA
rnacentral:ncRNA from 1 species